GGGCGUUUAGCUCAGCUGGUUCAGAGCAUCUGCCUUACAAGCAGAGGGUCGGCGGUUCGAACCCGUCAACGCCCA
rfam:Bacteroides graminisolvens DSM 19988 = JCM 15093 DNA, contig: JCM15093.contig00035.